UCCACCCCAAAAACCCCAAAAAUUCACCCCAAAGCCCUCCUGAAUCCCUGUCAGCACCUACAGCAAAGGUGAGCCCCAAAAACCCCAAAAUUCACCCCAAAAACCCCUAAAAUCCACCCCAAAAACCCCAAAAUUCACCCCAAAAACCCCAAAAGACCCCAAAAAACCCCCAAAAUCCCCCCAAAAACCUGCCCAAAAAAAACCCCAAAUCCCCCCUAAAAUCACCAAAAAAAAUCCAAAAAAUCCUAAAAAAUCCCCCAAAAAAAUCCCAGAAAAAUCCCAAAAAAUCCCAAAAAAUCCAAAAAACCCCAAAAACCCCAAAAUUCACCCAAAAAACCCCAAAAGACCCCAAAAAACCCCCAAAAUCCCCCCAAAAACCUGCCCAAAAAAAACCCAAAAUCCCCCCUAAAAUCACCAAAAAAAAUCCAAAAAAUCCUAAAAAAUCCCCAAAAAAAAUCCCAAAAAAUCCCCAAAAAAUCCCAAAAAAUCCAAAAAACCCCAAAAACCCCAAAAUUCACCCAAAAAACCCCAAAAUUCACCCAAAAAACCCCAAAUCCCCCCAGGUUUCACCAUCAUCAUCGAGCCCUUCGACGACCGCACCCCGAGCAUUUCCAACCCCGUGCUGCACUUCAGCUGCCUGGACGCCUCCAUCGCCAUCAGACCCGUGUUCGAGCGCUUCCAGUCGGUCAUCGUCACCUCGGGGGUGAGAGACCCCCAAAAAUACCCCAAAAACACCCCAAAAUACCCCAAAAUACACCUGGGACCCCCAAAAACACCCGAAAAUACCCCAAAAACACCUCAAAAUACCCCAAAAUACCCCCAAAAUGCUCCUGGGACCCCCAAAAUACCCCAGAAACACCCCAAACACCCCAAAAUACCCCAAAAAGACCCCAAAAUACCCCCAAAAUAACCCUGGAACAUUCCAUCGUCACCUCGGGGGUGAGAGACCCCCAAAAAUACCCCAAAAACACCCCAAAAACACCCCAAAAUACCCCCAAAACACCCCCAAAUACCCCAAAAUACACCUGGGACCCCCAAAAACACCCCAAAAACACCCCAAAAUACCCCCAAAAUGCUCCUGGGACCCCCAAAAACACCCCAAAAUACCCCAAAAACACCCCAAAAACACCCCAAAAUACCCCAAAAUACACCUGGGACCCCCAAAAACACCCCAAAAUACCCCAAAAUACACCUGGGACCCCCAAAAACACCCCAAAAAUACCCCAGGACCCCCCAAAAUACCCCUGGGACCCCCUAAAAGACCCCAAAAUACACCUGGGACCCCCCAAAAUAUCCCCAAAAUACCCCUGGGACCCCCCAAAAGACCCCAAAAUAACUCUGGGACCC
rnacentral:lncRNA from 1 species